UAGCACGUUUCCAGUGGCUGUGGCUGGUUGUAGAAAUGGGAUCUCGAACUGCAUUGGAGAGCAACCUAGAGAGACUUUGACAGCUCAGGUCAGCAUUAUACCUGCAGCUGCCACUCGCCUUUCCUUUGGUA